UUAUAGCAUCAUAAAUGUGCAUAGUAUUUCCCAACCACACCAGAAUAUGUGUUUUUGCAUUGAGAAGCCUACAGCUGAAUUAUGGAGACUCCGAAGCAGAAUGGGAACGAAUUCUUCAUGCUUAUGAAAGUUUUUCACAUGUUAAACAGGUGCCGCGUCGACAAAUGUGGCUCUGGGAGAGUUAGCAUGUGAUGUUGUGUGAACGAACCACUGCCUUCUAUCUUCUGCCCUGUUGCUAUGCUUUUAAGUAGCAACCAUUCACUCUUGCGAGUAUCCCAUUGAUAAACGCAGUAUAGACGCAAACCGGUUCAAUAUCCCCAAGGUGCUAAAAUUUCCACACUCAAGAUCUGCAAUUCAGGAAACUUGUCUUUUCAAUAUCACUCCCUUAAUAUGAUUCUACUCCCAACGCCGAUUUUCCAACCGAACAGCGAGUUAGCCUCUUUCCAUCGUCCGAAUCCAUAGCAAGUUGCAGAACUCGCAACUUGGUUCGGAAUGGAAAAAAAAAAAACCCGUCGGAUCAGGCAGAAGCUGUUAGUGCUUCUGUGCCGUCAGAAACGGUCAGCAUCCAAGACGAUCGCCGAGGCAGACGGCGACUCUCCAGCGUCACCUGAAAGUGCCCCGCUUGGUAAAAAGAAAGCGAGACUAAAGGCGCGCCGCCCGCCUUGCCCAGAAGUUAUUUCGAUCGCCCCCGCUCUUUCUUUUUUUUUUAAUUUCAUACACACAGUCACGGAACCCGGAAGUUUGUGUGUGAGCGCGUCUCUUUCCGCGUGGUGGUUGGUGUUUCGUUUUUCUUUCUUUUUUUUUUAAUUUCUAUCACAUGGCAGUGUGCGAGAGAUACAAUAAAAACAGAAAAAUGGCGACAGUCACGUUGUGGCGACUCUAUGCUGCGUCAUUAGAUAAUCUUCGCGCAAAGAAAGCUAAGAACAAAGACGGGAGAGCGAGGGGGCAACGAGCGCGUCUGGAAAGGCAAAGAAGAAGUGAAGCAGCAUAAGAUACCUUAUACCUUUUUCUGAGGAAUGCAGUCCCUAAUGUUGCCAGCCUCAAAUCUGUUUUAAGUAAGAAUGCUACCUCUUUCUCAAUGCAUUUUCCAGCUUUUCCAUUUCUUGGCAGAAAAAUAGGUCUGGACAUUUUAAAAAUAUAAGAAGGUGAGUGAAGAUCAUAGAAAGCAUAAAAUGGUGAAUUAUUUGCAGAAGAUAUUAACUUCUGUUGGCCUUCUUAUUUUCUAAUCUAGACAGGAAUAUUCUUUCUGUUUUUUUGCAUUUAUGCUAGUACACUAAAGUGUUUCUGUAGCUUAUAACUCAUGAAUACCUGGGGAAAGUUAGGAAUUAAGUGAUUAAGGUGUUACACUAAGGCUGAGGAGAUCCAGGUCCAGUCCACCUUCAGUAGUGCAAAUUCACUAGAUGACUUUAGGGCAGUCACUUUCUUUUAGCACAACUUUUUCACAAAUUACCAGGAGAAUAAAAUGAAGAUUUCCACAUAAGGCACCUUGAAUUUCUGGAGAAAAUGUGGGAUAUAGCUUUAACAAAUACAAGUAUAAAUCAGAUUAACACUUGCUAGUCUCCAAAUUCAUGUAUUAUAUCUUUAGUUGAUACAGGAGAAUGAAUGGCAGCAGUCUUAGUGACAAAUAAAUUGACUAUCUUGGCAUUGGUUUGCAAAAUACAGGACACCUUUUUAAAAUGACAAAAUAACAUGAUGUAGAGCAGCAGUCCCCAACCUUUUGGGCACCAGGGAUCGGUUCAGUGGAGAGAGGUUUUUCCAUGGACCGGAGGGUGCAUGGUUUUGUGUAC